rnacentral:rRNA from 1 species
GGGGACAACAGCCAGAAAUGGCUGCUAAUACCGCAUAAUCCUGCGCUGCCGCAUGGCAGCGCAGGGAAAACUCCGGUGGUACAGGAUGGUCCCGCGUCUGAUUAGCUUGUUGACGGGGUAACGGCCCACCAAGGCGACGAUCAGUAGCCGGCUUGAGAGAGCGGACGGCCACAUUGGGACUGAGACACGGCCCAGACUCCUGCGGGAGGCAGCAGUGGGGAAUAUUGCACAAUGGGGGGAACCCUGAUGCAGCAAUGCCGCGUGGGUGAAGAAGUACCCCGGUAUGUAAAGCCCUGUCAGCAGGGAAGAAAAUGACGGUACCUGACUAAGAAGCCCCGGCUAACUACGUGCCAGCAGCCACGGUAAUACGUAGGGGGCGAGCGUUAUCCGGAUUUACUGGGUGUAAAGGGAGCGCAGGCGGCGUGGCAAGUCAGAUGUGAAAACCCGGGGCCCAACCCCGGGACUGCAUUUGAAACUGCCAUGCUGGAGUGCCGGAGAGGCAAGUGGAAUUCCUAGUGUAGCGGUGAAAUGCGUAGAUAUUAGGAGGAACACCAGUGGCGGAGGCGGCUUGCUGGACGGUAACUGACGCUGAGGCUCGAAAGCGUGGGGAGCAAACAGGAUUAGAUACCCUGGUAGUCCACGCCGUAAACGAUGAA